GACGAACGCUGGCGGCGUGCUUAACACAUGCAAGUCGAACGGUAAGGCCCCAGCUUGCUGGGGUACACGAGUGGCGAACGGGUGAGUAACACGUGGGUGACCUGCCCCGCACUUCGGGAUAAGCCUGGGAAACUGGGUCUAAUACCGGAUACGACCGCACUGUGAGGGUGUGGUGGAAAGUUUUUCGGUGUGGGAUGGGCCCGCGGCCUAUCAGCUUGUUGGUGGGGUAAUGGCCUACCAAGGCGGCGACGGGUAGCCGGCCUGAGAGGGUGGACGGCCACAUGGGGAGCGGGGAAGGGCCCAGACCCCUACGGGGGGAAGGGGGGGGGAAAUUUCGCCAAGGGGGGGAAGCCUGAUGGAGCGACGCCGGGUGGGGGAGAACGGCCUUGGGGUUGUAACCUCCUUUCCCCAUCAACGAAGGUUUUUGAAGGGAAGGUGGAAAAGAAGCACCGGCAAACUAGGG
rnacentral:rRNA from 1 species